UACGGAGGGCGCAAGCGUUAUCCGGAUUCACUGGGUUUAAAGGGUGUGUAGGCGGGUAUUUAAGUCAGUGGUGAAAUCUUCAGGCUCAACCUGGAAACUGCCAUUGAUACUAUUUAUCUUGAAUUCUGUUGAGGUGGGCGGAAUAUAUCAUGUAGCGGUGAAAUGCUUAGAUAUGAUAUAGAACACCGAUUGCGAAGGCAGCUCACUAAACAGACAUUGACGCUGAGGCACGAAAGCGUGGGGAUCAAACAGG
rnacentral:rRNA from 1 species